ACCCGCUGAACUUAAGCAUAUCAAUAAGCGGAGGAAAAGAAACUAACAAGGAUUCCCCUAGUAGCGGCGAGUGAAGCGGGAACAGCUCAAAUUUGAAAUCUCACAGGGUUACCUGUGCGAAUUGUAGUUUAGAGAAACGUUUUCGGGGGUGACUUGGAUAUAAGUCCUCUGGAACGAGGCAUCAUGGAGGGUGAGAAUCCCGUAAAUGAUCCAAUGUUCGCUCCUAUGUGAUACGUUUUCCAAGAGUCAGGUAGUUUGGGAAUGCUGCCUAAAAUGGGUGGUAAAUACCAUCUAAAGCUAAAUAUUGGCGAGAGACCGAUAGCAAACAAGUACCGUGAGGGAAAGAUGAAAAGAACUUUGAAAAGAGAGUUAAACAGUACGUGAAAUUGCCAAAAGGGAAACGCUUGGAACCAGUAUUGCCUGCAGGUAAUCAGCCGCACGUCCCGCAAGGGUCGCGUGUGGUGCACUUGCUUGCAGGCGGGUCAACAUCAGUUUAGCCUGGGGUAAAAACCCGGUGGAAGGUAGCUUGGACUUCGGUUUGAGUGUUAUAGCCGCCGGUCAUGCCACAAGCUGGACUGAGGACCGCAGUGUUUUUUGGAUACCCGAUCGCCUCUUGAAAGUGGUGUUCAGACAGCAUGCUGACUGGACUCUGCUGUAGGGAGCCCGGUCGGAUAAUCACACCAACGCUUAGGAUGUUGACGAAAUGGUUCCAAACGACCCGUCUUGAAACACGG
rnacentral:rRNA from 1 species